AUUUUCUUAGUACAACCAGUACAGAUGACUUCCAAUUAUCAAGUCUUGGCUAAAACCCAGGAGAAAAUA
rnacentral:tRNA from 1 species